CGGGGAUAUCUAACUAAACAUAGAGAGAAAGAAAAGAAAAAAAAGAAAACGCAAACCUUUGGCAAGUGAGUAGAGAAGGAUGAGGAGGUACACCAGCAGACUCUGAAACGGUGGCCAAAUGCUGACCAUAGAAGGCACUCAAAGACGUGGCUUCUUCUCUCAGUGUAAUAGGAGUGUGAGAUUUUGAUUCCGGUUUUGGGAGAUUUUUCGCUCCUCCUUUCUUCCCCAUGGAUCAAACAAUCAAUCUAUUCGAAUCGAACAGAAUUGAAGUUAGGGUUUAGUUAUCGGAGUUUGUGAUGUUGAAGAUGGCGACGGAGGAUGAUGAAGACGACUACAAGAAGCGGCGGCGAUGUCGGAGGUUUUGGUUCGACUUUGGAACACAGAUACGUUUGAACGUCUUAAUCGAACGUUGUACAGUUGGUUAGAGGGAGAAAUUGGAGAGGGUGAACGGAUUAGAAGAAUACAAUGGCUUGUGUCCACGUUCAACCAAAGCGGAGAAGUGCGUGAAUGGGUGGAUAUUAAAACCGACCAAGACGCUCGUAGGAUGAUGCAGUACAUGUUCAAAAUUGUUUUGAUGGUUGUAAUCGCAUAGUUUUUGUAUUCUAGUUGUUUUAAUUGUUUGUGUUAUUUUUUAUGAACAACUGUCUUUUCGUUAAAGUCGUCUACUAUGAAGUAAAAUUAAUUUUCCAUAUAUUGCA